AGGGCCGCGGUAAUUUGACCGUGCGAAGGUAGCAUAAUCAUUAGUCUUUUAAUUGAAGGCUUGUAUGAAUGGUUGGAUGAAAGACACGCUGUCUUUUUUUUUAUUGUUGAAUUUAACUUUUAAGUGAAAAGGCUUAAAUUAUUUAGUGGGACGAUAAGACCCUAUAAAACUUUAUAUAAUUUAUGUUGAUAAUGUGUGUAUUUAGUUUAAAAUUAUUUUUUGUGGGUUAUAUUUCGUUGGGGAGAUGACCAUAUAAUUUGUAACUGUUUUUUNUUAUUAAAUAACUAUAAUUAGUUUUUGAUCCUUUAUUAAAGAUUAAAAGAUUAAGUUACUUUAGGGAUAACAGCGUAAUUUUCUUUGAGAGUUCUUAUCGACAAGAGUAGUUGCGACCUCGAUGUUGAAUUAAGAUUNUUAAGCUGGUGUAGUCGCUAGUUUGGUAGGUCUGUUCGACCUUUAAAAUCUU
rnacentral:rRNA from 1 species